rnacentral:rRNA from 1 species
GAUGAACGCUAGCUACAGGCUUAACACAUGCAAGUCGGGGGGAAACGACAUCGAAAGCUUGCUUUGAUGGGCGUCGACCGGCGCACGGGUGAGUAACGCGUAUCCAACCUGCCCACCACUUGGGGAUAACCUUGCGAAAGUAAGACUAAUACCCGAUGAUAUCUCUAGAAGACAUCUGAAAGGGAUUAAAGAUUUAUCGGUGAUGGAUGGGGAUGCGUCUGAUUAGCUUGUUGGCGGGGUAACGGCCCACCAAGGCAACGAUCAGUAGGGGUUCUGAGAGGAAGGUCCCCCACAUUGGAACUGAGACACGGUCCAAACUCCUACGGGAGGCAGCAGUGAGGAAUAUUGGUCAAUGGGCGAGAGCCUGAACCAGCCAAGUAGCGUGCAGGACGACGGCCCUAUGGGUUGUAAACUGCUUUUAUAAGGGAAUAAAGUGAGUCUCGUGAGACUUUUUGCAUGUACCUUAUGAAUAAGGACCGGCUAAUUCCGUG